rnacentral:rRNA from 1 species
GCAAGUCGAACGGGGAAGGUGGGAGCUUGCUCUAGCCGGACCAGUGGCGAACGGGUGAGUAACACGUGAGCAAUCUGCCCCGAACACUGGGAUAAGCGCUGGAAACGGCGUUUAAUACCGGAUACGACGCGCGACGGCAUCGUCUGCGCGUGGAAAGAACUUCGGUUCGGGAUGAGCUCGCGGCCUAUCAGCUUGUUGGUGAGGUAAUGGCUCACCAAGGCGACGACGGGUAGCCGGCCUGAGAGGGUGAUC